rnacentral:rRNA from 1 species
GGACUACCCGGGUAUCUAAUCCUGUUUGAUCCCCACGCUGUCGUGCAUGAGCGUCAGUUACGAGCCAGUGAGCCGCCUUCGCCACCGGUGUUCUUCCCAAUAUCUACGAAUUUCACCUCUACACUGGGAAUUCCACUCACCUCUCUCGUACUCGAGCCAAACAGUUUCAAUGGCAAUUCCGGAGUUGAGCUCCGGGCUUUCACCACUGACUUGGAUGGCCGCCUGCGCACGCUUUACGCCCAGUAAUUCCGAACAACGCUAGCCCCCUUCGUAUUACCGCGGCUGCUGGCAC